GGAUCCAUGGCGCAACGGUAGCGCGUCUGACUCCAGAUCAGAAGGUUGCGUGUUCGAAUCACGCUGGGUUCA
rfam:Selaginella moellendorffii unplaced genomic scaffold SELMOscaffold_6, whole genome shotgun sequence.